CCUACGGGUGGCAGCAGUGGGGAAUUUUGGACAAUGGACGCAAGUCUGAUCCAGCCAUUCCGCGUGCAGGACGAAGGCCUUCGGGUUGUAAACUGCUUUUGUACAGAACGAAAAGGUCUCUAUUAAUACUAGGGGCUCAUGACGGUACUGUAAGAAUAAGCACAGGCUAACUACGUGCCAGCAGCCGCGGUAAUACGUAGGGAGCAAGCGUGCAUCGGAAGUGCUGGGCGUAAUGCGUGCGCAGGCGGUGAAAUCCCCGGGCUCAACCUGGGAACUGCAUUUGUGACUGUAUAGCUGGAGUGCGGCAGAGGGGGAUGGAAUUCCGCGUGUAGCAGUGAAAUGCGUAGAUAUGCGGAGGAACACCGAUGGCGAAGGCAAUCCCCUGGGCCUGCACUGACGCUCAUGCACGAAAGCGUGGGGAGCAAACAGGAUUAGAUACCCGUGUAGUC
rnacentral:rRNA from 1 species